ACGGCGAGUGAAGCGGGAAGAGCUCAAAUUUGAAAUCUGGUGGCCUCAGGUCAUCCGAGUUGUAAUCUAUAGAAGUGUUUUCCGUGCUGGCUCAUGUACAAGUCCCUUGGAACAGGGCGUCAUAGAGGGUGAGAAUCCCGUCCUUGACAUGAACUACCAGUGCUCUGUGAUACAUUUUCAACGAGUCGAGUUGUUUGGGAAUGCAGCUCAAAAUGGGUGGUAAAUUCCAUCUAAAGCUAAAUAUUGGCGAGAGACCGAUAGCGAACAAGUACCGUGAGGGAAAGAUGAAAAGCACUUUGGAAAGAGAGUUAAACAGUAUGUGAAAUUGUUGAAAGGGAAACGAUUGAAGUCAGUCGUGCUCUUUGGAUUCAGCCGGUUCUGCCGGUGUACUUCCUUUGAGUGGGGUCAACAUCAGUUUUGAUCGCUGGAUAAAGGCGGGAGGAAUGUAGUACCCUCGGGUAAACUUAUAGCCUCUUGUCACAUACAGUGGUUGGGACUGAGGAACGCAGCAUGCCUUUAUGGCCGGGAUUCGUCCACGUACAUGCUUAGGAUGUUGACAUAAUGGCUUUAAACGACCCGUCUUGAAACACGGACC
rnacentral:rRNA from 1 species